AAUACAGUUCAUGUUUUGUUUUUUGUAGUCUUUUUUUUUAACUCUCACUUCUUUUCAUUUUCUGUGCUCCUCUGCAGGUGCUGAAGAGGAUGAAUACGUGAAACCCAGAGUAAUCUCUGACAUGAAGAUUUACUCUCUGAGAGAGCAAAGGGUCCUGGGAAUCUGGUGUCUCUUUCCAGUGAUCAUUAGGGAAGAGGCUGGGUACAACUUGGACAGGUCGCUAGUCCUUCGCAAUGCAACACAAAACACAAACAGCCCUGCACAAACAUACUGAUGGGGCCAUUUGCGAACCUACCAGUCAUGUUUUUGGACUGUGGGAGGAAGCCAGAGUACCAUCCAAACUCCAGGCAGAGAGAACCAGGGCUUCUUGCUACAAGGCAACAGUUCUACAAGCACAUUUACCUUUUUGGAAGCAAAAUAUGUAGAAGUGAAGCUUUAAUGCUCAGAGCCCCUCAAGAAAAACUCACACAAAUUUCUAAGAGGUUCCUGUUGGAAAAAUUGGUUUAAAAGUCAAAUAAAUUUUUUUUUUUUUUUUUUUUUUUUUUUUUUAAUCCUUCUAGCUCCUUGCUUUACUUUGAACGACACAUUUUAUGAAGGAGGACUGAAAUGUUUGUGAUGGUUCACACACAUUAUUGUGAUGUUAUAUUUUAUUUGCUGGAAAAUGUGUCGGGUCAAAUCUAGACCAUGCCAGAAGCUUUGCUGCCAACUAGUGGUUAAACUUGUAUUUUCAUUUAAAGUUUUAAAUGUCUUUUUCACCCAAAACAAUAUAUCAAUUUAAUUCCGUUUAUAAAUAAACUGAAUUAGCAACAGUAGCUGUGUGUGCAGUGUUCAUGCAACACUGUGAAGGAGCGAUAAGAAUCCAUGAUGGCACUUUUUAAUCUUGAUCCAUGUUACUAAAGUCUGUAUGAAAUAAUGGCUACUAAAAGUAACACUUAUGUAAAAGGAUAAAAUUUGCUUCUCAGAGUAAACUUUUUGAACAGUAAAAUUAGAAUUGGAUGUUUUUCAGAUCUUGGUUAUAGUAUCAACAGAUUGUUUUCUGCAGCAUGCUGAGGUACAUGCAGAUAGUUACCAGGCUUUUAGUCGGAUUUCUCAGCAAAACGCAUAAUGAAUACAUUUGUAGUGCCAAGCAUUUCAGACAAUCCAACUUUUGAUUUCUUUUAUAUUUAUUUCUAGGUUUGUCGCACAUCUUCAUUGUUGGUGCCCGUAAAUGCCAAGAGAAGGCUCGACAGUUUUCUAAAUGUCAAUGUUUCUAUAUUUAAAUUUGCUUUGGGAUUAAUAAAGUAUUUUUGAAUUUGAAAUAAUAAAGAAAAAAUAUGAGCAGAUGUUGAGACGUCUGCAGACAUUACUACUUGUUCUUACAAAAGAGUGUUUCUGAUUAACUGAGCCUUGCUUUUUUUGUUUGUUUGUUUUGACUGUCAGGGAAUUGUGAGAAUUAGCAGAUGUACCUUCUUGUUCCAUUUGAAUUUUGAGUGCUGUAAAUAUUUUUGUCACUGGGUUUUUGGGGUUGUUUUUUUUCUUGUAUUAUAAAUACAGAAAUGAAAGGUUGAAUUAAAUGUCCUCUGGGAUGAACUGCACAAACAGCACAGAUCAAAACGUUUUUAUUAGCUAAGAGAAAUUAGUUUCUGCUAAUAGUUUUCCAGUUUGCCACUUUAACUAAACCAGUUAAAUCUUUUUGUAACAUAGUCGGAUCUCUGCCGUUUUAACAAUCCCACUUCCAGCCAUUUUGUUGCCUCUUAAAGCAUUAUUGACGAGAUGACAAUAAUCAUCUUCAAGUUGGCUGUCAUAUUGAUGUUGGGCCAGAUUUCUUUACAUUUCUUUUUUUUGUUUUUCCUUGAGCAUUAUCUUCUUUGUUUCAGUUAAACGCCUCUAGGGGGCAGCAAAAGGUUGUUUUGUUCCACCCAGCGCUGUGUCCCUCAUCUCCACACAGGUGAGAUAAAAAAAAAAAAUCUACAUGCAUGAGUGAGAAGCGACUUGAGUAUGAAUAUAGUGAUUUAGUUUGACUUUCUAGAAAGUAACUGUUUUCUUUCUUUUGUUUUCUUACCUCAGGCCUCUAAUUAAUCCACCAACCUGCUUUAGCUGGAGGGUCUGCUCUCCGCUAGAGGAUAGAGAGCAAAUGGAGCUUUAUGAAGAACCUUCUCUAUGCUGCCUGAUGUGCCAGAGUCUGAAACCAAACUUGCUUCUUGCAGAAUGUGUCGCAUCACUUCUGAAACUAAAAUAUAUGAUCCAGUUGCUCUUUUUUUCUGCCUUCCAUAUUGGCCUUAAUUUAACACCAGAAAAUGAAACCCAUUAAUCUGUGAAAUGCUGCAAGAAAGGAGGUUGUAUCUGGAAAUAAUAUACACCAGUAAUCCAUAUUUUAGGGCUUCAGGCAGAUCACAAGUGCUCACAGCAGUGUGCUGUCCUUUUUUGGGCUAUUAUUGUAUUUUCCUCCCAUCCUCCUUCCAAUCCUAUUCUAGGUUGCUCCUCUCAUCUCACCAUCGCAGGAAUGUACCUUAUUUCUGUGGAGUCCAUCAAAUAUGCUUCAUGUUACAACAGCUCCGACCUUUGACUUGCGUGUGUCCAUUCCAAAUGAAUUGAGAAGCACUGCUGUACGGGUCUAUCAGUCACACAGCAGAGCGCUGGGUAGACUGUACAAUUUACAAAUGCAUCUUAGUUAAAAUUGUUCCGGUUAAAUCCUGCUAAAAUGCACCAUCUGCUGGUAAAAAGUUGUAAUGUAAUGUUGUAACUUUAGAAAGAACAAAGUAUUAUGGGUAAUCCUGUGAAAUCACACUCACUCUUUGAAACUCCCAACCCCUCUCUCCCCCGAAGGAAGGUUGAAGGAGCAUGGAAAACACACUCGCCU